AAAUGCUAAAGUGUGGCAUUGUCUGAAAGUAAAACAGUGCACAAAAAUAAAAAAGAAGAAACUUUAAAAAUCGGCCAUAUUCCCAGAAGGUUCAUCUAAUGGCUGAGUAUUUAAGCGGCAUACAUUCUUCCAAAGUAAUGCAUUUUUAUUUACAUGUGUGUCUGUGCACAUACUGGAGUGUAGGUAUGUGAUAUAUUUAACUUUAUAUAGUGAGUCACUUAUUUAUACAGCACUACAUAUUCCUUUUUUUUAAACCUCACAUUAUAUUAAGCUUUUUUUGGUCAAUAAAAUUUUUCAAAAAUAUAAUUUAAGGCUGUGCAGUGCAUGACUCUGUUUAAUGCAUUUAAUUCAUUUACUCAUUUUUCUGCUAUUGAUUCCUUGCAGUUUUAUAAAUAAUGGAGGUGCUUGCAUUUCGAAUAUCAUUAUUGCAGUGCUUAAACAUACGUAGUUCCAUUUCUUUUUGCCUUAUUCCUCCAUUGCCCAGAAUGACUGUUACUGCUGGUCUGUUAAUUUCAAGAUCGCACAUAUAGACUUAAGUCCCAAAGGCAUUUCCCAGCUUGCAGUUAAAAGGGCAAACCUGUCCAUCCUGAGAAAAUAUUUUACUCUGAGCAUUUCUAGUUGAAGGAAAAGAGCUUACAGAAAUUAAUUUUGAUAAGCAUAUUUCAUCUCUUACCUUAUUGGGCUGUUGAUUUAUGAAUUCAAUGCAAGUGUAGGAAAAACAAAAGUACAAAAGUCUAUCUGUAUAUCUGUAUCCAUAUUUAUGUUGCUAGGUCUCUCCUCUCGCUAUUUCUUCAAUCUGCCCCUCCCCUACCAUUCUGUGGUUACUUUAACAUUAACAUUUUGGUGCUUAUCACUUCACACUUUAGUUUUGGCUUAUAUAUAAAUGAUUAAAUAAGGUGCUCCACUCCCGGGAAAAAAAUCUGGAGUUUUAUGAUCCCUAUUAUUUUCUAACAGCCUCCUCCCACUCACUUCUAUAUCAUGAUCAACCCUAUGGUUAGAUGUAUGUAUCUAAUUCGUUCUUCUCAAUAGCAUACAAUAAUACACCAUUGUGCCCUAGGUGAGGUUCAACCUUUCCACUGCUUUUGUGCCCACUGGCUCCUGGUGUGCUUUCUCUUCAACCAGCCAGCACCUGUUUCUCUCUAAAGGGCUUGGCUCCAGCUGCCAGAGCCAGCCUUAGAGCCGGGGACAAGUGACAGACGGGUUCAGGGAGUUACCUGAGACAACAAUGGAUGUGACUCCAGCAGUCUCCAGAACUUCUCUAUGUGAUGAGCCAGUUACGGCUGUGGGAUGCUGCUUAAAAUUGCACAGCGGCCAGCCUCCCUUCCCUGUCCCUGUUCCCCGGCUGCUUUUCCUUGAAGUUCUUCCCAAUAAAUCACUUUUAUAAAAAUCUCAUCUCAGGGCUCAUUUCUGGGGAACUCAGUCUAAAACACAAAGUGUGUCUUUGCUUUCUUCCCUUUUAAUGGGCAUUUAAGCAGUUUCUGCUUUUGGACCUUACAACCUUUUCUUCAUCGUUCAACCCUGUACACAUAUCCUUACAUAUGGCUGUUUUCCUUUGUUGCAGGAUAGAUGCUUAGUAAAAGAGCUGAUAUAGUUUUUAAACUUUAAUAGACAAAGUCGGAAGAAAAUCCAGAAAAUAUUGGCCGAAAUGCAUACUCCUUCCAACAAUAGAUGAAUGUGUCUGCCUGUUUUAAUAUACAUUCACCACAUCAGGUAUUAAUAAUUUUUAAACAUUUUCUUCCUCUGAUAAGUCAAAAAUGGUUUGGGUGAAAAUCCUUAUUUACCUGAUUCUUUGAGAAGUUGAGCCUCCUUUCACAUGUAUUUUGUUUUUAUGUCAGUUGGAUUUGCCAGUAGUUUCGCCAUUCACAUUAUCUUCAUGAGCUGGCAGCCUCUUUCAUACUGGGUGUGCUCCUUUGUUUUUCUUAUCAAUUUGUGGGAUAUGUUUAUACCGGGAUAUCUCAGUUCUCUGUCUACAUGUAUGUUGUAACUAUGUGCCGCCAGUUGUCAUCUGUUUGGACUUUGUUUUAAAAAUCAUUUAGAAGGAGAGGCAGAUAAAAAUACUGAGGCUGUUUCUAAGGAAACAACCUCGGCUUGGGAACCGUGCCUGCCUGUUUGCUUCGCCGCGUGUUGAUGUACACAUUUGUGAAUCAUAUGCAUCGUUCCUAUUUGGGUCAGUGUGCACAACUGAGUAAGUGCAGACAGUCCUAUUUAUAGGACUACGCUUUAGGAAUUCCCACAACAAAGCUUUUAGCAUCAGUCCUGCAGGCUGUCCCACUUACAGCUUUGUGUUUCACAUCAAGACAUGCGAGGAGGGAAACCGAUCAGAGGCCUGGCUGUCCAAGUGUGUGGUUAUCCGGCACUUGUGAGAAAAUGAGCUUCCACCGGAAAACGUGAGAGGAUCAACUCCACCGUGCCAUACACAUCACCUCAUUUACACCCUUCCGCAGAGACAGGAGCUCCCAAGUUAAAUUUUAGGCUUGAAUUAUCUGUUGUGAUAGUUUAUAUUGAUUAAAUGAUUAGCAGCACAUGUGCACAGGCCCCCAUACCUCCCUCCACACCCACCCUAUGCUGUUCAGUUCCCUCUCACAGUUAACCUGAGCAAAGAAAUAGAAACAUUCUUUCUUGCAUCUUGGGCUCCUUUGUGCUGGUCACCUUUUAUUUCCUUUCUAAACCAUUUAUCAUUUUCCAUAUUAUUAUUUCCUGUGCCUCUCUGCUUAGUUUUAAUAAUUAGAAUUAUAAAAAUAUUUGCUUUUCAAAACAAAUAGAUGUCUACAUAAUGAACAGUUUUUGCAAAGUAUGCUUUUUUUUUUUCCCUUUGGAAUAAAGUGUUAAAAAAUACAAAGUAGUAUGUAUGCAAAGAGUAUUUAAGCUAUGGUUUCCUGUUGUGGUGCAGAGGGUUAAUGAUCCAGCAUUGUCUCUGUGGCUGCAUGGGUUUGAUCUCUGGACCCAAAGCAAUGGGUUAAGGAUUCGACAGACACUGCCACAGCUGUGGUGCAGUUCGAAGUUGUGGCUCAGACUCAGUCCCUGGCCCAGCAACUUCUCUGUGCUGUGGGUGGGGCUGUAAAAAAAAAAAAAGAAUAUUUAAGCUAAAUAAUAUUUAAGCAAUGAAUUUCUGUAUCUAUUUUGUACACACACACACACACACACACACACACACACACACACACACACACCGCCACCAAGAUCAUCAUUUAAAUCUCCAAAUUUUUCAAAGCAUCUUUGGCCUUGGGGUUGUCGAAUGUGCUUUUAUUGAUCUCUUUUUCAACUCAUGCACAUAAAGUUUUCUUCCCCCCUCACAAGAAAGGAGCAACCCUGUGAUGUAUACAUUUCCUAAUUAAAGCUUAAAUCUAGUUCCCAGCAAUUGCGCUUCUGAAAUGUUGGAACCACAGAGUGAAAUAUUUUUAACUUUUUCCAUCUAUCACACUGGUUUUUGGGUUUCUGGUAAUGUCAGCCAGAAAAGUAUCUGAAUUAGGAGCAUUUUUCAUAGAGACUUCUACUACAUUUCUUAAAUGGGUAAGUUAGUAUUAAAGUUAUCACUGGAAUUUAUCCCAAAAUGUAAUUGAAUUUCUUAAAUUGGUUUUAGGGUACAGUUCUUAGUUGUUCUGUUCAGAUAUGAACUCUAGGAAAUAAAUAAUGUGGCUCAAGUCACUGUCAAGACAGUGGUAAAAUUUUACGAAGGAAUUAGAUCUUUUAGGAAGUCAAACCCUUUGCCCAGAGAUACUGUCCAUUUGGUAUUUUAAAUGAACCAGGAUGGCAGCGCUGGGUGAAAACAUAUGGAGUUUCACUUUUUGGCAACUAAUUCAUUAUUUCAAAAAAAUGAGUAAAAAAUCUCCUCUUGGAUACCGAAUAGAGUUGGUUAUUUUGCCACUUUAUGGCUGUUUGGGCAAACCCCUUAUUUCAUUACAGCUAAUAGUUCCUCCUUUAAAAUUUUCACUGUAUAUUUUAUAUUCCUUCCCAAAGAAGUACUGUAUUUGUUUUGAAUAGGAACAAAUGUUUUGAUUCUCCUUCUUGACUUUUUUUUUUCCCUUUUUUUGUAGCAUAACUUUUAUGAAACUAGGGCUAUUGUUUUAACAUAACAACACUGAAGGCCACGGCUUUUUGUAUGAACAGUAUGAAAAUGAUACUAUAGCAAAUGAUAAACAAAUGUUAGUCUUUAGUAUGUACCAGGUGUUUUGCCCAGAACCUUAUCAAACAUUACCCCACUUAUUCCUCAUAACACCUAUGAGCACGGGUAGUAUAGUUAUCCUUGUUUUACACAUGUGAAGAAAAAAAAAAUACUAAAACAGGUGGAGUAACCUGGUCAGGCUAAUAGUGUACCUUUGCUAAUAAAGUAAAAUUCUGUAAUUCCUUAUUUGACGUUUAGGACAUCCAGAAAUAUAAAUUCUUUGGAAAGAUGAAGUUAAUGCUUUUUGAUUCUUGCACCAGCUCCAACCAACUGCUCUUACUACAUCUUCUGCUUUUCUUGUGCAAGGAAAUGGUUAACACCAUUCACCUCGAGCAAGAGCCAUUGUAACUGACAAAAAAGGUGAUAUCCAUAAACUUCUAAGUAAUGAGUUAUGCCUCUCUAAUUCAUUGAGCUCUUAUUCCUCUUUAAUAAACCCUGUCUUCAUCACACAAAGGCAAACUUAACCCUAGCCAUGGGUUAUCAUGCCUACCAUUCGCCUGGGUGAACACUUACACAUUCGGAUUUUAUUCUUAGGAGGCUGGACAAGUGCAGUAUGUCAGCAUUUAUGGAGAGGUACCUGCUGUGAGUCUGAAAAUGGAAUCUUGCAUAUUAAUAAUAGUAUAGCUCUGAGUUCUCUGGGGUCUGAUGAAGGAAGCUAAGAACCUUGUUUGUAGAGGAUACUGAGCAGAGAAGUUCAGCCAGGACAGGGCUCAGGUGAGGAGUGCUUCUUUGUUGUUGUCCUUCUUGCCUCAGCAGCCAAGGUUUGGGAGUCACUCUUUUCCCUGUUAAUGGGAGAACUGGGGGCCAGACAUGGAGUUCAAGGUUUUGUCCCUGCUGUUAGGAAUUGAGUUGUGUUGAUUUCUUUGGUGAACUCAUUGGGCAGGUGACAUUAUGAUUUCAUUUCCUAUCUGAGAAGCUUAUAUUAGUAGUAUAGAUUUACGUCACAGGAUAUAUUUUUAAAUUACUUUUGUCUUUGUUGUGGAAUCAAGGUUAUUGACUUAUAAAGCGCAUCAGUCUAUUGGUUGUGAAUUAGCUAAGGCAUCUUGUCCUGGCAGUUGAUGGUCAUGAAGCUUUCAGCUUAGUCUUCUGACUGUAGCUGCUCUUCUGUUGCUAUCAAGAUUCUUCUCAUGGAGUUGUGGCCUCUCGGUAACCAUGAAAAUCAUCCUACAGAAGACAGAAAAAAUUUGGCUUGCCAUACCUACACUGAUUAUAUUGGCCUUUGACCAUUUCUUUCUCUAUAGACUAAUGUAUAAUAAAGCUUUGAAUAUGAUACAUCCAUUGGGGGUUUUGAAAAGCUUUGUAUGAGAAUGCAGCAGGUUGACAAGCUGGAGCAGGUAGUUUUGUGAAACACUGAUAGCAUCAGCCAAGUCUGAAGUAGACCAAGUACAUGGUCAUUGCCCUA
rnacentral:lncRNA from 1 species